ACACUGAAAAAAUAUAGAAAUUAACACAAAUGAGUAUAAGAAUUUCUUAGAAUCUCUUUAGAAAUACAGUGGUAUUUUAUUUCUUGGUUUUGCAGUCAUGCAUCGUAUAGUCAUACGUACAUAUAAUGUUUAAGGGAAAAGCUAUUCUUCAAGGGUUUGGUCUCUAUUGCUUCCAUAUCCCCCUUUCUUAUUCCUUUUCUCCUCAGCCCUGCAGCCUUUCAGAGGUUUAUCAUGGAUGGCUCUGAAUCCAUCUAUACCUAUACCUAUACCUAUACCUAUACCUAUACCUAUACCUAUACCUAUACCUAUACCUAUACCUAUACCUAUACCUAUACCUAUACCUAUACCUAUACCUAUACCGCCCCCGCCCCCAUUUCACUAAAGUCACCUUCAAUCAUGUCACAUGCUUGCACAGUGAAAGCACAUGCCUUAUACCACUCUCAUUUCAUCUGUUUGCAUUCAUUAGGACUUGCCUGCGGCUCUUCACCUUUUUAUAAAUGCUCUUUCUGGCCAUUUACAUGCCUCAAACAACAAUGACGAAAUAUCUUUCCUAUAUAAUUCUGAAUAUAUAUCUACCUAACAUAGUAGUUACAAUUGCCUAUUGUUUUCAAUUCCUGUCUUAUCCUUCCUUGUCAACAAUAAUCAUGCUUUCUUUUUGUGCGUGUGUGUUUGUGUGUGCACAGUCUACCAAAGCACAUGCAUAGAGAAGCCAUAGGAUGGCCUGGGUGCCAUUACUUAGGAGCUGAGACCUUGAGCUUUCCAGUCAAUCUGGCCAAUCAGCCCCAAGUUCCAACCUGCCUCUGUCUCUCUCAUGCUGGGAUCCCAAGCCUGUAUCACCAUGCUUGGAUUCUUUUUAAUGUGGGUUUUGGGAGUUGAACUCAGUUCCUCAUCCUUUCUGCACAUGUACGUUACUUGAGCUAUCUGUCAAGUCCAAAACCACUGCCUUCUUGAAAAUGCUAAUGAUGCUUGAUUUUGGAAUCAUGCAUAGUAGACACUCGGUAUAGUGGUUUGAAUGGAAAUACUCCCCAUAGCCUCAAAUGCUUGAGUGAUUGAUUGCCAGUUAGUGGAACCUUUUGGGAAGGAUGAGGGGGUGUGGCUUUGUUAGAGUAGGUUGAGCUUUGAGGUUUCUAAAGCCCAAGUCAGGCCUAGUGUCUUUCUCUCUGCCUGCUGAUCAGUAAAUGUCAUUAUUUGGUCUUUUGUAUAGUGUUUUCUAUAAAUUAGGUAUGAAACUAACUGCCAUUUACUGUUACUAGCCAUUGCAAAGUUUCUUUUGUUUAAUCAUUUACUGGGGCAGAAGUUCUAUAAAAGGACCUAGGCUAAAGUAAUCAUUUACACUGUAAAAUUUUCUGUUUCUUUUGGUUGACAAUAUUAGCUCCAAGUGCCUGACAAGGAGGUGUAUGAGUAUCCAUCCAUCUUCUAGGGAUUGAAUGGAGGAAAGUUUUAGAUAAAAUGUUGCCACCAUCAUUGGCAUUCACAAGACAGUCAAUAUCCGCACUGGGCUCCUUAGCUGUCAGGCCGCCAGUUAGCAGGAGCGAUAAGCCAUUUCUCUCUGUCCUUCUGAAGGGCACCAAGGCUUUAGUUACAGUGAAUACAAAGAUAUUCUAGAGCUGAGCUGACCUUCUUCAUUGUUGGGUGCAGGGCACCUGCAGUGUGGCUGAUCCAGAUUCAGAUGGUGCUGGAAAUGAAAUACACAUUGGAUCACAAAGUCUUAGUAUGAUGAAUGGUGUUAGAUGGCAGUGCACAGUAAAGCAUUGAGUAUGUGCUGAAAUAGCAUUUUAGAUGUAGUGGGCUAAAUAACAACUGAACCUGGAAACAGCACGUAUACUAAAAUGAGCUUUACUUUUUUUUUUUUUUUUCUUUUUAAGUGUGGCUAGUAGAGAUUUUAAAAGUUUAUAUGUCAGGGUAGGUCUAAGGUGCAGGGUUAUCGUUCCUGCUACUUCUUCAGCUGAGGCUGGAGAAUCGUAGCCUAUGGUAGACUGUAAAUCCAAGACCAGUCUGCACAACUAGUGAGACACUAUCUCAAAACAAAAAACAAAACAAAAACAAACAAACAAACAAACAAAAAACAGUAUAAAAGGGGCUGGAGAGAUGACUCAGCGGUUAAGAGCACUGACUGCUCUUCUGAAGGUCCUGAGUUCAAAUCCCAGCAACCACAUGGUGGCUCACAACCAUCCGAAAUGAGAUCUGAUGCUUCUUUUGUGGUGUCUGAAGUCAGCUACAGUGUAUUUACAUAUAUAUAAAAUAAAUAAAUAAAUCUUUUUAAAAAAAGUAUAAAAACUGGGCUGGUGUGGGUGGAUGGAGAGAAGGCUGAGUGGUUGAGAACACUGACCACACUGGCCACUUUUGCAAAGGACCCAGGUACAGUUCCUAGCACCCACAUGUCAGCUCACAGCUGGCUAUAACUUCAAUUCUAGGGGUCUGACACCCUCACACAGAAAUACAAGCAUUCAUAAUACCAAUGCACUAAAAACCAAUUUAAUAAACAAAACCAAACCCAAUCAGGGCUGGGGAUUCAGCUUCUUGAUAUGUGUCCUGGUCUUGACUAUCUGAUGAGGUUUCAUGUUAAAUCUCUAACAUCUUC
rnacentral:lncRNA from 1 species